rnacentral:rRNA from 1 species
AGACCCGAAACCCGGUGAUCUAGCCAUGGGCAGGUUGAAGGUUGGGUAACACUAACUGGAGGACCGAACCGACUAAUGUUGAAAAAUUAGCGGAUGACCUGUGGCUGGGGGUGAAAGGCCAAUCAAACCGGGAGAUAGCUGGUUCUCCCCGAAAGCUAUUUAGGUAGCGCCUCGUGAAUUCAUCUCCGGGGGUAGAGCACUGUUUCGGCUAGGGGGCCAUCCCGGCUUACCAACCCGAUGCAAACUGCGAAUACCGGAGAAUGUUAUCACGGGAGACACACGGCGGGUGCUAACGUCCGUCGUGAAGAGGGAAACAACCCAGACCGCCAGCUAAGGUCCCAAAGUCAUGGUUAAGUGGGAAACGAUGUGGGAAGGCCCAGACAGCCAGGAUGUUGGCUUAGAAGCAGCCAUCAUUUAAAGAAAGCGUAAUAGCUCACUGGUCGAGUCGGCCUGCGCGGAAGAUGUAACGGGGCUAAACCAUGCACCGAAGCUGCGGCAGCGAACGUAUCACUUAAAGUGAUUCAGCGGGUUACGAUUGACGGAGCGAAGCGACGUCAAAGCGUAUACAAAGUCGAGUCGGUUUAAGGAUACGUUCGUUGGGUAGGGGAGCGUUCUGUAAGCCUG